rfam:Dipodomys ordii contig_75, whole genome shotgun sequence.
GGAUGUGAGGGUGACCUAGCGGCGACAUCUGUCAUUCCACUGAUUGGCAACUCCAUUGAUGCACAACUCCAUUGACCACCAGGGCUGAUUGGGCGGAUCUGGCUAAGUGGGUCGUCCCUUUCCUCCCUUGCUACUCCACGUGGGUCCUUCCCAAAGUGGUGUGCUUGCUUGGUCAAAGAGAACGACCAUCGCUGAGAGAGAAAGGUUGAUCUUCAGUCUAGGGUAUACAAGUAGCUGGUCUCUCUUGCUGGAACCUUGGAACAAGCGCUCGAAGUCCAAAAUAAGCAAAAAAAAAAAAAAAAAAGCCAGGCUUAAAGGUAUGGCUAAAGUGGUAGAGCAUAUGCU